UACACUCCUACGGGAGGCAGCAGUGGGGAAUUUUGGACAAUGGGCGAAAGCCUGAUCCAGCCAUGCCGCGUGCAGGAUGAAGGCCUUCGGGUUGUAAACUGCUUUUGUACGGAACGAAACGGCCUUUUCUAAUAAAGAGGGCUAAUGACGGUACCGUAAGAAUAAGCACCGGCUAACUACGUGCCAGCAGCCGCGGUAAUACGUAGGGUGCAAGCGUUAAUCGGAAUUACUGGGCGUAAAGCGUGCGCAGGCGGUUAUGUAAGACAGUUGUGAAAUCCCCGGGCUCAACCUGGGAACUGCAUCUGUGACUGCAUAGCUAGAGUACGGUAGAGGGGGAUGGAAUUCCGCGUGUAGCAGUGAAAUGCGUAGAUAUGCGGAGGAACACCGAUGGCGAAGGCAAUCCCCUGGACCUGUACUGACGCUCAUGCACGAAAGCGUGGGGAGCAAACAGGAUUAGAAACCCUGGUAGUCCCAUGA
rnacentral:rRNA from 1 species